AUGCACGCUGGCGGCGUGCCUAAUACAUGCAAGUCGAGCGAACAGACGAGGAGCUUGCUCCUCUGACGUUAGCGGCGGACGGGUGAGUAACACGUGGAUAACCUACCUAUAAGACUGGGAUAACUUCGGGAAACCGGAGCUAAUACCGGAUAAUAUAUUGAACCGCAUGGUUCAAUAGUGAAAGACGGUUUUGCUGUCACUUAUAGAUGGAUCCGCGCCGCAUUAGCUAGUUGGUAAGGUAACGGCUUACCAAGGCAACGAUGCGUAGCCGACCUGAGAGGGUGAUCGGCCACACUGGAACUGAGACACGGUCCAGACUCCUACGAGAGGCAGCAGUAGGGAAUCUUCCGCAAUGGGCGAAAGCCUGACGGAGCAACGCCGCGUGAGUGAUGAAGGUCUUCGGAUCGUAAAACUCUGUUAUUAGGGAAGAACAAAUGUGUAAGUAACUAUGCACGUCUUGACGGUACCUAAUCAGAAAGCCACGGCUAACUACGUG
rnacentral:rRNA from 1 species